AAUAACCAAAAUUUUUUAAACAAUCAAUAAACGCGUGCAUAUAGUUACCAUCAUUUUACACUGUCAUUGCACGCCACUCUUACUUUGCAUAUGGCGCGGGAAUCCCGAUGAUGGGAUUUCCCCGAGGAGCUCGUAGAGACGAGUUCUUCCGGGGAUAUCUCUAGGUGAGGAGAAUUUCGAGGCUUCACCAAAGCGUUGGGAUAGUCUUCGAAUAAUUUUCCAAUAAAAGAUUACCGACUCCAUCAUUUAAAAUAAACAAGUCACGACAUCAUUCUACGCUUG
rnacentral:lncRNA from 1 species